rnacentral:rRNA from 1 species
AACUUCCGUUAAUUGAUCAGGACGUGCUUGCACUGAAUGAGAUUUUAACACGAAGUGAGUGGCGGACGGGUGAGUAACACGUGGGUAACCUGCCCAGAAGCAGGGGAUAACACCUGGAAACAGAUGCUAAUACCGUAUAACAGAGAAAACCGCCUGGUUUUCUUUUAAAAGAUGGCUCUGCUAUCACUUCUGGAUGGACCCGCGGCGCAUUAGCUAGUUGGUGAGGUAACGGCUCACCAAGGCGAUGAUGCGUAGCCGACCUGAGAGGGUAAUCGGCCACAUUGGGACUGAGACACGGCCCAGACUCCUACGGGAGGCAGCAGUAGGGAAUCUUCCACAAUGGACGCAAGUCUGAUGGAGCAACGCCGCGUGAGUGAAGAAGGGUUUCGGCUCGUAAAGCUCUGUUGUUAAAGAAGAACGUGGGUGAGAGUAACUGUUCACCCAGUGACGGUAUUUAACCAGAAAGCCACGGCUAACUACGUGCCAGCAGCCGCGGUAAUACGUAGGUGGCAAGCGUUAUCCGGAUUUAUUGGGCGUAAAGCGAGCGCAGGCGGUCUUUUAAGUCUAAUGUGAAAGCCUUCGGCUCAACCGAAGAAGUGCAUUGGAAACUGGGAGACUUGAGUGCAGAAGAGGACAGUGGAACUCCAUGUGUAGCGGUGAAAUGCGUAGAUAUAUGGAAGAACACCAGUGGCGAAGGCGGCUGUCUGGUCUGUAACUGACGCUGAGGCUCGAAAGCAUGGGUAGCGAACAGGAUUAGAUACCCUGGUAGUCCAUGCCGUAAACGAUGAUUACUAAGUGUUGGAGGGUUUCCGCCCUUCAGUGCUGCAGCUAACGCAUUAAGUAAUCCGCCUGGGGAGUACGACCGCAAGGUUGAAACUCAAAAGAAUUGACGGGGGCCCGCACAAGCGGUGGAGCAUGUGGUUUAAUUCGAAGCUACGCGAAGAACCUUACCAGGUCUUGACAUCUUCUGCCAACCUAAGAGAUUAGGCGUUCCCUUCGGGGACAGAAUGACAGGUGGUGCAUGGUUGUCGUCAGCUCGUGUCGUGAGAUGUUGGGUUAAGUCCCGCAACGAGCGCAACCCUUAUUACUAGUUGCCAGCAUUCAGUUGGGCACUCUAGUGAGACUGCCGGUGACAAACCGGAGGAAGGUGGGGACGACGUCAAAUCAUCAUGCCCCUUAUGACCUGGGCUACACACGUGCUACAAUGGAUGGUACAACGAGUUGCGAAACCGCGAGGUUUAGCUAAUCUCUUAAAACCAUUCUCAGUUCGGACUGUAGGCUGCAACUCGCCUACACGAAGUCGGAAUCGCUAGUAAUCGCGGAUCAGCAUGCCGCGGUGAAUACGUUCCCGGGCCUUGUACACACCGCCCGUCACACCAUGAGAGUUUGUAACACCCAAAGCCGGUGGGGUAACCUUUAG